GUGAGUCGGGAGGUUUGGGGAAGAGCCCGUGUUACCCAAACGGUAGUUCUUGUUAUUAACCCUGGCAGGCUGGAGGUGGUAGGACCCGGCAGGGACCUCAGGGGAGUGGGGGCAGCUCUCUACCCUCCAGCAGACAAGGGCGCCCCAAAGGGCCCGCGGGCCACCACGUUGACAGGAAAUCUGGCAGGGCAAGCGGAGACCAAAAAAAUCUGACCCUCGCUCCCCCAAAAGAGUGAGGGGUGAGGACUUGUUCCGGUCAGCCUGAGGCUUAUUGUUCGGAGCUAAGAACCCCCAACCAAUUUGCUUCUUCUCAACCUUAAAAACGAAAACGGGUCCCUUCGGGAUCUCUCCUUCUCCACUCUGGCGGUCGGCCCCCGAAGUUCAGAAGCGAUCCCCGGACUCCCCGAGAGGCGGACGGCUCCGGCUGGGGCUAUAGGGAGCCCCGCGGAGCGCAGCGGGGGCUGCAGAAAAGGAAGCUGCAAGCCGGGCGAGGAUGCCAAGGAGGGGAGGGGGCGGCCGGAGGGAAGGCUCCCGGGGAGGGGCCGGCGCAUCCGGGGAGGGGGCUCCGUCACCGGGUCCAGGGCUUCCCCGCCCCUCCCGGCGCCGGCUGCGGACCCUGAGCGGCUACUGCGCGAGACCUGCUAGGAACAAUCCUCCGCCAAGCUGUUGCAUCGCAAAUAAAAUCCUAAUGAGCCCCCUCCCACUUCCCCUUGGCCGGCUUUUACGGUCUGCGCGUGGCGCGGGGAGCUCUGCCAGCCGCGCGGCCCCGGGCAGCCCCGUGCGCUCCCGCCCUCGCCGGCGCGGGCUCUCGGCCUCGCCGGCUGCCGCCCGGGCCCCGGCCCCGCCGGCCCCUCUCCCGGCCGGCCGCCGACAGCCUCCUCCCGGGCUUUGAGCCCGAGCCCCGGGGGAGUGGGGGAAGGGAGGCCGAGAGGGCGGCGAGGUGGUGCCUGCGCCCCAGUCCCCUGCAGGACGUGGCAGCGGUGGGGGCGGCGCUCCGCCAGCGGCCUCAGUCUCCCCUUCGGGGGGCACCCGGCUAGCUUUGCCUGCUUCCUUCCUUCCUUCCUCCCUCUUCCCUCCUCCCCCGCUCGCUCUCUCCGGCCACCGCCGCGGUCUCCCCUCCACAUUGUCCGCAGUUUAUUGCCUCUCCCCUCCCCUCCCCCCACCUCGCCUGGCCUUCGGCCUGGUAUUUCCUCACUUUUUAUAACUUACUUUGAUCCGGCCUCUCUUUGUCCUCGCUUCCUUCGCAAAUUUUAUUGUCCCCGUAGCCGGGUCUUUGAUUAGACAGGACGGCCUCCCUGCCCGCCGAAGUUUCCAAACUGUACUCGGGCGUGCCCUGUUUGAGCAGCUCCCCAGGCGCGCCCAGCAGCGGCUCCGCCUUCACCGCCGCCUGGCCCUGCCCCGGAGCAGCUUCGCCGCGCGGCGCCGGCUCCAGCCAGGUGCGGAGGUACCUGCUCUCGGCCGGCGGGACGCCCUGGGGUUGCAGGUAGGGGUGGUAGACGGACGGCAGGCUUCCGGACGCGUGCGGGCUCAGCGGCGCCCAGGAGGCGCCGAACACCGGCGCUUUGGGCUGGAAGCUGCACGAGGGGAACUCCAGGUGCUCCGCGUGGCCCGGCUGCCGGGGACUCGCGUACUGGCCGGAAGGAAACUUGGCUGGAGGAGCGUCCUCACUCUCGUGACUUAUGAUCGAGUCGACAUAAUAGCUGCUAAGCGUCCCAGAAAUGGACAUUCUCAGACAUUAUCCGGGCGCUCGCAGGGGGAAGGGAAGCGCUCGCGCGGCGGCGCCCAAGCAGGGAGAGGUGGCACCCAGACCGGUGUGAGGGCUUUCGGACGCGACCCCCCCAGCCCCCCACCCUCCCACCCCCACCCCCUGCUCAACUUCUCAGCCAACAAAGUACAGUGGAGCAGCCCGGCUCAGCGCUCCUUGCAAAAUGAUUGGUCAAAGUUUUUCCGACUGCCUGAUAAAGCGUCAGCUCCAACAUAAAUCAAUCGGGCGAGGGGGCUGCGCUCUCGCUGUCAUCCGUCCGCACCGCAUUCCAUAUCGAGGAUGGAUUGUUUUAUGCUGAUGCAAUGUGCUAUCACGUCAGGGCUCCGGCGGCCACGUAACCUCAGCCCGAGCUGCCGGCCGCCCUCCCUCUCCCCCCCUCCCCUCCUUUUGCAGGAAGGGGGGUUGUUCUCGACAUGGGGCGGCGGGGGCGGAGGAGAGGCGGAGGGAAAGCAGCGGGCUGCCUCGGGAGGGAUUCAGGCUGUGGAGCCCUCUCCCCAGGCGGGUCCGGGAGGAAGAGAGGGAGAGCUGGGCAGAGGGAGGGAGAGAACCCCAGCCCGGGGAGCAGACCGAGAGGCCCACAGCAUAAUUAAAGAGGGGGUGGGGACAGGACCCCCAAACGCCACUCCACCCCGCAGGCCUCGUUUCCUCUCCUCUGUCCCCUUGACACAAGAUGUUUAUUAAACAACAGUGCGGCAGCAAUCCACUGGAGAUGAAGUAAAGGGGAUGGGAGAGAAGUUGGGGGGUUUUAUAGGGCAUUAUCUGCUUUGGAGGGCUCUCUGUUGACUAUGUUGGGAGGUUUACAGGCCUGGGAGCUUCUCCUGACCCCUCGGUAGCUGCCAGAGGAGAGCGGGGUGAGUGUCCAAUGACCUGGUCCUAAAAUUUAGCUAUCCUAAAAUCAGAACCUACAUGAGGUUAGAGGUAUUCACCAGGCCCUGAAAAGUUGAGCCUCAGAAAGAGUUUAAUACAACUAGCCAAAGGUCCUUUAAAUUCCUGGGGCCUCUCUCUGGCCCCGGUCAGAGGGAAGUAGGGGGUGGGGGGGGGGGCAUAGCCAUUACUCUUUUCCUCCCCCUGAUAACUGCGGGGGGGCCCUUAAAAUUGCCCCGUUGCGGGAGCCGAAUGUGAGAAAGGGUUAAGGGAAAUUCCCUAAGGUGUCAGCAGAGCAGAGGUGUGGGAAGGGGUCCCGCAGUUAUCUCCCCUUACACCCAGUGAAGAAGGGGCCCAGUUUUCGACUCUUCCGGAUGGCUCUUCUCACCCGGCUUCGCCUUCCUGAUAGAUUUCCAAAUACCGGUAUUGGGCACCAGUGUAGACCGAGGGCCUGCAGGUCAGUCUCCCGGCCACCCGCCGCCUCCCCUCCUGUGAACUCUCUGGCUGGAGCUUUCAGAUAGCCGGUUUUAUUGGUCUCUGCUACGCGGCCCUGCGCGGAUUCUCCCCUGGGGCCACCGGCUGGCUUCCUGGCUCAUCUCCCGGCCGCAGCUCCUCCAGCUUCUGCCCUGGGUACAGUGGCUUCUUGUGGUGUAGAGGCACAGGGAGACGCAACCCCUGGACAGACCGGGCUCGCCUGCGGUUGGGGCUGGGAGCAGGCUGGGGUGGGUUUUCUCAGCAUUGCCGGGCCCUGGGCCCUUAAACGAUCGGCUGUCCCCAGCCCUGUCCUUUUACCGAAAGCGGGGCCAUUCUAAUUUGAGGUUUUAUCUUUUUGGCCAUGUACCCCUCUGCCUGCAGAAAGCUGCAGAUCACCUCCGCGCACACACAGACACGCUCCCGCCCGCUUUUCUUUCCAAAUGAAGCCAUCUCGUGUCAUUACGUGUGAAAUACGAGGGCGAAGCGCCAUAUUUCUUCACAUUAUGGCGAUUUCAAAAUGAUUUUUUAAAGAUCAAUGCCAGCGCCCAGCCGGCCCCCUCCUUCCCCACCCCAGCUCUCCGAGGGCGACAGCCCAGCAGAUCCGGAACCAAACAGCGUGAAGAUCUGCUUUUUCCAUGGGACCCAAGUGGGGAAGCAAAAAUCCAAUGCAAAUUCUUCUAAGUAGCAGUUGGACGCUUGGGAAAGUCAAGGGAGCUCCCCGGACUCAACAGCGAGAAAGCUGGGCACAGAGCGAAUGAAUCACAGUUAAGGCAAAGCACCUGUUCUCGAUUUGCCAGACGUACGGAGUCUGCUGUUGGCUUUACCUGUAAUAAAUAUAUUCUUCAAAAAAAAAAAAAAAAGCGCCUCUCCUGUCAUAAAUAAUGGUGUUAUGAAGCAUGGAGGGCUGAGUAUAUGACUUUCUGUAGUAUAUAAAUUAGGGCCCAAAAGGCCAUGUGGAGUGUGGGCAGGGCCUUUUUUAUUUAUAGAAAAGUCACAGUGCUGGGCUGCUCUGAGGACCCAGGCCCGUGCAAGUGCUGGGCUCUGACUGCAGCCCUCUGGUUCCCAUUCCUGGCCCAGACUUUGUUGCUGCCUUUCUUUGCAAUAAGAGAGAAGUCAAGAGGGACGCUUCCUUUAGGGAAGAAGUUAGAGGCAGCACAUUUGAGCUCCUGACUUGUGCCCUACAAGGGUGGGGAGGCCCAGCAGACAGGGUUUAGGUUUCUGACUUGCCCGUCUCCCCUUGUGGCUCCUAGGUGCUGGGUAAGGAGGAGACCCAGGCCUCUUUUUCUGAGACCAGAGCUUAGCCUUUGCUCCUAACACCAGAGUGUGGGAACAGUUUCAAAAUGACAGGUUUUGAGGUCUCAGUCUUCUCAGGAGAGAGGGCUCUGGAGGGAAGAGAACGAACCAGCACCCCAACCCUGGGUCUUGCACCCCAGCUCAUCUCCCAGGUGGGGAAACAAAUGCACCAAGCGAUAGUCCCACCCCAGCCAGCCUUUCUAGCAAAUGCUGCUGUCCCAAACUGGAGCUCAACUCCAGUUCAGGCAGAGGGCUAAAGGGUCAGUGGGGAGGGAGCCCCCUGUUUGGGUGCUCUGAGGGUCUGUGGACGCCCUCAAAACCUUGUUUCCUCUCCCAAACAAUGGUACCCACCGUGAGGGAAGGAGGCAAACAGGACUGCCGGCCGUCCCUGGAGCCCAGCUUCUAAAGAUGCUUAGUAGAGAGGUUGCUUGAGUGGGGGUCACUUUGUCCGGAGACAGCAAACUGCUCCCCACGCCACUCCUAAUCCUAAAGAGAAAGAAGGAAAACCUUGCCUGCCCCCCGCCCCCCAGUCUCUGGCCAUUCCCAGCACAGGAGCUGCCGCCUGAGCACAGCUAGGGCCAGUAGCUGGUGGCUCGGAGAAGGACAGGCAGGGAAAAGCUGCAGCCCUUGGCCACACUGGGGCCCAGAGCAGCCAAGAGCGAGGCAGAAGUGGGGAGAGCAGAGGCCGACCCUGGCCAGGACCAGACGGAACGAUGUACAUCGUGUGAUGUUUCUUUCAUGGUAGUGAUGGACACAACGAUGUAGGCACCAUUACCUGCACACAAGCGUGUCCCUCACAAGUGUGAAUCUGACCAGUGGGCAGAGAUGAGCUGAACGUGAAAGCCCUCAGCACUGUUCCUGGGAGGGGGUGGCCAAGAGACGCCGGGAUGGAAGACAGGCUCCAGGCUCCGGGUGGCUGGGCAGGUUUGUGAGAGGCCCAGAGAGAAGUAAGGAGCCCCGAUGGAGGAGGAUGGGGACCCUAGGCCCAGCCCAGACCUGGACAAGGCCUCACGGCUACACCUGCCUGGUCACCACUUCUCAGCCUCCAUCUCUGCAGCUGGAGGUCUCCACAGAUAAGAUUUCUCAACUUCAAACUGUCAUCAAGGUGCAUCUCCACUCCCCGUCGUCGGGCUAGUGCCUAUAUUCCAGGGUCACCCCGGGUAGUUCCGAGAGGCCAAAUCUUCAAGCCCUACACCACCCCCCUGCUUUGAGACUGGAGUAGAGACCGGAGAGUGGAGAGGGAGAAAGUGACUGCUGGAGACAUAGGUGGAAAAGCAGAGUGUGAGAAAAUACCAGGAAGACUAGGGAUGACAGGCAGGCAAAAGCGGGUUGGCCUGGACAGUCGCUGCGAAGUCGCCCUGCCGGAAACGUCCGGGGUAGGGGUGGGGGGACCUGGUUCCGCAGAGGCUGAGCCGUCCCAGGUAAGAGGAUCCGCUCCGAAUUCACAAAUGAAACCUGGAGGCUCAGCUUGGGACGCAGAGAGCAAGGCUGCUUCUUGCUUCCUGACCUUCAGCUUAGGCCCUUCGCUCUCCGCCCCCACCGAUCUCCCCUGCGGCCACCUCUACCCCUCCAGACGCCCGCGUCGUCGCAGGUGUUCAGGCACACAGCCCACAGCGGGCGGGCGGCCGCGCGAGCCGAGGCGGCGGACUCACCUGGGCGGCGGCGGCAGCGGCGGCGGGAGCGGCCGUCGGAAGGCGCGGCGCCAGCGGCCUGUCCCCCCGUCCGGCCCGGCUCCCUCCCGCCCUGGCGCCGGAGGCGAGGGUCCGCGUGGCCACGUGUCCGGCGGGGAAGUCCGAGGGAGCGGAGGAGUCUGCCCGGCCGCCCGCUCCCCCUCCCGGGUAUAAAUCUUGGGGACCGGAAAUACAAUAAAACUUCACCGUGUUGAUGAACUUCAAAUGGUUUACAUCCCCUCCUGUCCUGAAAAGAAAGACGGCCGGGGGGCGGGUUAAAAGGAAGGGGAAACAAAUUUACGAGCCGCAGAAGCAGCCGCCUCGGCCCCUUUCUUUCGUCCGAGCAGACUGUGUCCGCGUGGAGAGAAGCAGCCUCGGCCCCCGGGACUUUGCGUCGGCUGUCCCCGCCUCCAGGGACUCUUCUCUCGCAGGAGUCGCCCGUGCGGCGGCUGGCAACUCACCGGGCCGCACGCACAGGCCCGGGCUCGGCGGACCCGGCCCUUCGCCCAAGCGGAGUUAGGCGCCCCGUCCUUCCUCGCUAAAGCCUGGCUCUGCCGGCCACGCCCUGUGGCCUCGUUCUUUGCGUCUUUCCGCUGAAAGCGGGUUUUUUGUUUUGUUUUGUUUUUUCUUUUUGCGCCUCUAGCUGCCAGACCUUUGCCCUGCCCCACCCGUUUAUUGCCAGGUACUUGCUUGAAGGGGAGAGAGGGUCAGAAGGCCUGAAGGGGCUGAGCGGGGCAGGCGCUCCCAGAGGAGAAACCGAGAUGCUGGUCUUGGCCAGAGUGGAGGUGACGGCCAGCGCUGAGUGGUGUCCAAAUUGGCCUCUGCCACCGUCUCCUGUCUGGUUCCUUCAAAGCCUCCAACAACAGCCACUACCUGAACCUCCACUGCCCUCUCUAUCGCUCUUUUCGGCUCCGGACCUUUUGCUUUUGUUUUGUUCUGACCAAACUUUGUGGAAUCCGGAUUUGGAAAAUCACUAUUAGGCCGUAGUGAAUCAAAACCAAAACCAAGGAAAGGGUCUUUUCGCUGUGAGCUCCAGAUAAUUGGGAGCGAAGUUGUUGAUUUCCUGUUCACUUUGUCUGCUGGAGGGGCAUGGUUAGGUGCACUUCUGGGCGGGAGAGCAAAGGAAUUCGAUCAUGCCUCACAGUUAUUCACCAAAAAAUAAGAAGGAUCUAGGUCUAAGAGGCGCUGGAGGGCUAAGAUGAGCUCAGGCGCAGUCAGGGCUCGGGUGCAGAACUGAGGCUCAGCCGCAGACCCAGGCUGGGGCUUGGUGCACUGGCGGCCCCUUCCUCCCACAGACACACACAGGUGCGCCCUGUGUGACCCGCCGGCUCCACGCCCACCCCCCACUUCCAAGGAAAGGCCCCAAAACAUUACUGGGGACUUCUUUUUUUAAGUGAUUUAAAAAAAAAAAUGGGGACAUCUGGUUGGCUCAGUCUGUACAGCAGGUGACUCUCGAUCUCAGGAUUGUGAGUUCAAGCCCCACAUUGGGUGUAGAGAUUAUUUUAAAAAGAAAGAAGGAGGGAAGGAAGAAGGAAAGGAAGGAAGGAAGGAAGG